UGGUUUUAUGCCCUUUCCUAUACCUUCUUCACCAUAAAGUGGAUUUCUUGACCUAAGACGAUGUUAUGUGGGAUCUCAAGUUGGUAAAUCAGACACUAUGGAUCUCUGGAUAGUGGUGCUACUGAGGCACUGAGGGCAGGAAAGGCGAAUUCACACCUGGAAUGCACGCCAAUUUAAGACAAAAUGAAUCACUGCCCUUUCCCAGGUAGAAGGUGUCUUAUGUAAUCCAUUUGCCACCAAGUGGUUGCUUAGUCUCUUCAGGGAUGGUAUCAUCUGGAGGGCUCUGCUGGACUCUGAUGUUGACAGACUGGACACUGAGUGGCAGUCAUUAGAUCAGCUUUGUGAGGGGGCAGAGCCCAUGGUGUUGGGCCCUGUAUAACCUCCAUCCUUGCCACCAUAGCGACUCCAUUUAUGGGCCCAUUGUAUAAGCACUAGGGUGGUUAAAGAUCAAACUUGUUUGAUACCCAGGGGCUGAAUGUGCCAGCCCAUUUGGUUGCCUAGUGCCUCUUGUAUACUGGAUGCUUUUCAGUGGACACUAACAUGAAACACCAAGAUUCUUACACCUUGUGCCCAGUCCCAGAGGUCCAUCUACAGCUCCUUACCCAGAUCCCCUUGUGCCAAUCUUCCAAUACUGCUUCUUCCAGGUCCCUGACCAACCAACCAAACCACUUACCAUUUCCCAGGAGUUCAGGCAUAUCCUCAUCCCAGGCCAUCUCUUUUUCCACCCAGAGUUGCUGACCCAUGGUGCUGGCCAUUGGGAGAAUCUCCUCUCACUGCAGGCUUUUGAUAUCAUCCCUCAGUGUGACUGUGGUAAAGCAAUAAUCCGUUUUAGGCCCUCACUGACAUGUAAAGUCAAUCUGUUUUUGAAGCAGGCCUAAUUUUCCCCUCUCUUCUGCCAGCUAGUCAUAGGACAUGCUAUUCAAGUCCAUAGAUAUAAGCUAAGGAGGAAGCAUUGGUGCAUCAGGGACGAUUACCUGGGAGCCAGAGCCACCUGUCUGUGCAGCUUACUCAUGCCUCAUGCCUCUGCACCUGCUUGGGGCCAGUAUUUAGAUAUAGCACUCUCAUUGGAUGAUGGGCUGCUGUUCCACCCUACCUUAUGGCUUGGUGGAUCUCACAGCACCCAGCUAAUGAUGUUCAACUCCAUUCACACAGUCACCUGAUGUCCCAUGAUUAGAUGCUGUGUCUCUACCCAGGUCCAGUAGCAUGCUAGGGGCAGUCUUUUCAAUGGUGCAUAAUUCUCUGAACAUAUUCAGCCUAUUUCUCAAGGCUCUUCCAGUUUCUAACCUUUGAUGGCCUUUGAGCUGUUCUGAGUCUGUCCAGGGACUGUUCACUGAAGCUAACUCGAAGGCCUAAUUUUCGACAAAAAGCAGGCAGAGGCCCCAUUCCAGUACUCUAGGGGUCUGUGCUGUGACUGUCCUAUUGGAGAUUUCCUUAGACUUGACGUGGCAUUACUGUCCAUCAAAGAUACCUUCAGUACGAUAGGAUCUUCUAGGUUUGGUGGGUUAUAUGGCCCAAGCAGCCUGGACCUGCUGCAGGGCUCUGUCUUACGCACUGACCCACUCAAGACUGAGUGCCUUCUGUGUCACCUAAUAAUGGGCCAGAGAAGUAUUUUCAAGUGCCGCGAAUGCUGCCUAUAAACCCUGAAGAAUCCUACCAAGCACUGUGCUUCUUUCUUAGUGGUGGGAGGUACAAGUUGCAAUAACUUGUCCUUUACCUUGGGCAGUAUUUCCUGAAGACAGAUAAAUCUGGGGAAAAUUACAUUGGUCACCUGAUCUUCAUAAGUCCCUACUCUACUUGGAGGAUGAUGAUGGUGUUUCAGUUCUCCUGGUAUCAGUAUCAGCUCCGACCCCUGUCUAAUAGUCCUGGAAGGAUCUGGCCAGACUCUCUUCCCAGGGCUUGUGAUUUUGGCAAAUGUUCUCGGAUCACAUGGGAAAGAAUUGGGGGAAUGUUUACUAUAGAUUAUUUGUGAUGGUGUUGCCAAGUCUUUCCUCCAAGAAAUCCAGACUCUUCUUCAGUCAGUCGACUCUAGGUGUGUUAAGCAUUUUAAUCUGAAAAUUGAAUAAAGGACCAACUCUCAAUCUUUUGUAUGCAAAGCUGAAUACCACCUUAGUUGACUAUCCAUGUUAGGAGAACACCAUGAUCUGGCAGCUGUUGGGGCCAAAGGGAAACUUCCCCUGUGCCCACUGGGAGUCCACUGAAAAUCACUGGCAAGGUGCAGUUAAUAGGAGAAAAAGCAUACAAAUUUAUUUCAUCAUAGUUUACACAACACAAGGCCUUCAGAAUGAAGACCCAAAGACACAGGGGAAAUUGUCCAUCUUUAAGCCUAGGUUUAGCAAACUAUGGACAGCUGUGUAGAAACAUGAUUGGAGGAAAAGGAUAUGAUCCGAUGCUAACAGACCCAGUGGGACACCCAGCAAGACCUGUCUGUCUAGAUUCUUCCUGCUGUCUCUGUGUGGCAUUCCUUUCUUCUGGGUGUAGGGCAGGGCCGUCUCUGGAACGGGGGCAUCUCAUGACCUACAUUCAAACAAGGUAGGUCAGAUAAUUUCUUUAAGGCUAGUUUUUACACAGAAAGGCAGGUGGGUGCAGAGGGGCAGAGGCAGAGUCGUAUUUUUAGGUUUUAUGGCUGGCUUUGGCUGUGUGGGAAAAGGGUUCUGGUUUCUAUGACCUGCCUUGGGGAAGAGGGAUUCUAGUUUCUCUGUCUAACCUUGCGGGCGAAUGAGACUGAGAGGCAGGAGGGCAGGAGAAUGUCAGAGGAAAACGUUUGCUUCUGAGGCCUUCAUUUUGGGGAAUUGCUUUCUGAGCUCCAACAUAGCCAAUAGCAAUUACCAUAGGUGUCCGCAGGUCAUGGCACCCUGAUGGCUAGUCCAGUCUUGCUGUCCUUUAGGGUAAUUACACUCUAUUUUCAUUUGAGAUUUGAGUGUCUCCUAGCCUGGUAAUUCUAUGAUCCCAUUAUGCUUACUGAUAUUAGGGAGUCCCUUUCUAUGAUAUCAUCUUUAACUGUCAACUCUGCUCUAAAAUGGACAGUCAUCCCUGCCUCCAGAACUGUAAGAAAUAAAUUUGUUUUUUCAUAUAUUUAAAAAGGUACAACCAUCUUCAGGCUUGUAAGAGAUAUCAGUACAGGCAUCACCAGUGCAUUCCUUAUGAUGGUGGAGAAGGGUGUGUCUUCUGGUCUGCCCUGGGGAAAUAGACAAGCGUGCUUUCUCAGGUCCCACUUGGUAAAUCCACUCUAACAAGCUUAUCUGUCUGAGCUCAUUGCACUUUCCUUGAUGCUAUGAUAAGGAUGGUGAUAGCGCUGCCUCAUUUCAUGUACAUUUCCUUUAGGUCAGAUCUUCAAGGAGGCAUCUCAACAGACUCGUAGGACUGGCUUCAGGUAUUUUUACCAGAACAUUGGAUCCCAAGUUACCUGGGAGGUCUCCCAUGUCAAUCAAUCCUCCCCUAACCAGCCUGAUGUUCUCCUUGCUCCGACUUGAAAACCCUCAAAAUCGAUUUUCCCGUAUUUCCCCAGGUCUUGGUAGUGUUUAGCAGCCAGGACUGCAAUUCCCUUGGCAUGUAAACUGUAGUCUGGAGCAAGGGCUUUGAUUUUCCAUUCAGGUGGUGCUGAGACCUUGCCCAGGUUUUGGUACUGGAAUCAAUGAGGGGAAGCAGAAGGGAAUCUUGAGGAGGGCCAGCACCUGCCUCAGGCAAGGCCCCUCGCUGCUCAAUUCCAGGCACAGGGGCACUCUUAUCAUUUGCGAAGGAGGAUGAGGCUGCUUCUGGCGGCACACUGGAUUUUGUACACUAUAGGGACUUUAAAUUCUUAGGCUUGUCCACUCAAAUAUUCUUAUUACAGCCUCAGGGUUUCACUUUUUUUUUUUUUUCCUCACCAGGGCCCUGACUUUUUCACAGAAAACCUAUGAAGAUGCAGAUUAAUCUUCCCUAUGGCUCUCACAGCUCUGCCAUGCUAAGACUUUGACCCUGGACCUGCUGUUCGGCCCCAUCUGCCCCAUGGCUGCAGGAGACAAAUGUCUCCUUAAACGCUGCCGUUGAGGUCUUUUUACUUUCAUAGUGUACCAGUGGGCCUGAGUUUGCUAUUUUUUAAAAGGAUUCCAAUGCAGUUAAAAGCAGUCAGCUUCCUCUACAAUUCUUACGGUUUUAAUCUCCAUCAGGGAGAUGCUAUUUUCACCCCUGACGACAAAUGAGGAAACUGAGCUACAGAGAGUUUGAGAAUUUCCUCCACAUUCCACAGCUACUCAAUGGCAGAGCUGGGAUUUGAACCCAGGAAGUUCAGCAUCAGGGUCCAUAUUCUGUCCUCCCCUUCAAAAGGAGCCACCUAUUAUGUCACCCAUUAAAAUAGUUUUAUUUUAUUUUGUUUCCGUUGUUGCUAGCCCUGAGUCUUCAGCGAAUGAGGGUCAUCAUCAUCUUCUAAUGGAAGAGGUAGGAGAGGGAGAGACAGAGACGGGAGUAGUUUCAAAACAUGGGUCUUGCGUAGAAAAUAAGGGGGCAAUACUACAAUGCAGCUGGCCCCACUGAGCAAGCCUGUGUCAUGAAAGCACACAGGAAACUGGGUUGAAUGUAAAAGGAUCAAUACCUCCACCUGUCUUCACUUGAACACUAGGUCCCACAGCUAGCGGUGGAUAGAUGCAUUUCAUCACCUGAUAGAUGCAUUUCAAAGAUUUUUCUUUGUUUUAUGUCUUUUAAAAGUCACAGGCUAAGAUCCCUCUCACAUGUGAGAAAAAUGCAAGCUGCUAUGGAUUGAAUUGUGUCUCCUCAAGAAUUAUAUGUUAAUCUAUCUCAGAUUGUAACCCUGUUUGGAGGCGGGAUCAUAACAGAGGUCAUAACAGAGGUAAUCGAGUUAAAAUGAGGUCAUCAGAGUGAACCCUAAUCUAACAUGAUAGAUGUCCACAUCAGAAAGGGAAAUUUGUACACACAGACACGCACACAGGGAGUACACCAUGUGAAGAUGAAGGCAGAGAUUGAGUGAUACAUCUUCAAGCUAGGGAACACUGAAGACUGCCAGUAAACCACAAGGAACAAGGGGUGCGGCGUGGAGCAGAUUCUCCCUCACAGACCUCAGGAGGAACCAGCUCUGCUGACACCUUGAUCUGAGACUUCUAGCCUCCAUAUGAAAUGUAUGACACAAUAAACUUCUGUUGUUUAAGUC